ACAAAGCCAGGAGAGAGGUUGAGAGCGAAGCCUCUGUUCGCUCUCGUUCUCUUCUCUCGGCUUAGAAAUGCGCUUUUGCCCUCCCAUACCCUGUUUGAAACCCCACCUCCACCUCCUUCCGCUUUCAUUCGGGGAUAAAGAUCUUUCUACAGAAAAAAAAGGUCCCCCCCCCGCUUUAAUAUUUCGAAAUGCGCGGGGAGGGGGGCGACUGGGAAGAUCGAUCACAUCAGGAGGUCGAAUCUUUGAGAAUGACAUUGACCGCUGUGGGGCUGCUAACUGUAGAAGGAUUUCGCCAUUAAAAUCUGGCUAGAAGGAGUAGAGAACAGUGAAGCCAUUCCAAGUUCAAGGGGGAGAAAAUCGAGUACAAAUUCUUAAAAUGGAGCCAAGGCUGCAGCGUUUCCGUUUUCUAUAGGUACCUCUCCCCCUGCAAACGUGCAGCCCAUGCAGCUCUCUCCUCGUCACAAAGGCGGCGCUGCUGCCGGCGCCUCCGACCACCGCCCCACCCCGCUUCCUCUCUCCUGUGCAACAAUGCAGCGGGCCGCGCACAAAGCUGCCCCCGCAGCCACAGAUCAGCCUCCUCUGCAGCGAGGGGGCAUUUGGGCAGCCUCGGCACACAUUCUCCUGCAGGAUGGUCUUUUUAAACGUUUCACAGCCCAGACACCUUAAACCUGGAUCGAUACAGCCCACGAAGCUGUCAGAUGCUAGAGGAAAAAUGCUAAUUGUUGCAGCUCCGGGCUUGGGUGGGUGUGAGCUGGAACAAAGGACCGGAUUCAUCACUGCCUAAGAGCCAUCACCUAGCAAGGGUGCGGUGUACCCCGCAGGAGAGCCUCGCCCACUGCAGCGGUGAGAUUCGUGUGACUCAGCGUUCAGGCCAGUAGAGGGCGUUCACCCCACUCAACCCGCUUCGUCUCCUCCAAGACGGUCUCCGUGACUCGGAUUGGAGGUCUUUUUCCGUGCUGUGGCAAGAAGUGUCACUGGAAAGUCGACUGUGACCUACCCGCUUAAGGAAGGGUCUCAUCUCUUCCCUCUAAAAAGUUGGAACAAGUGGACCUCAUCUUGCUUAGACUUCUCAGCCUCACCACUGAAGACUGAGGUGCUUGGGCCCUGUGGUCCCCACACCUAUCACUCCUUUAGAGCCCAGGGUAACUUUGCUAGUGGCAGUCUGAAUGUGCCCGCAUUCUUUCUCGGUGAAGGGGUUAAUUAAAAGCUGUUGGCAAUUAUCUCAAGUGGGGCGAUGGAGGGGACCUACCAAAGCCGUUUGAAGUGGAUGGCCUCCAUCCCGCUGGCGACAUGCCUCAUCUGGACUCUGCCGCAGCCACUGCUUCCACACCUGUCUCCUGUCACUUCCCAACAGAUGAUCGAAGAGUCGUUAAACAUUGAAUGGAGAAUUAGAAAUAAGUAUUCAAGAAAUGAAAGACAGAUCUGUUUGUGCUGAAAAUCCUUUAGAAAAAUACGUGAAAAACAUCCAGAAGACCCAAGACCAAGAGAUGGCAGAUAAGGUGCUGAUGCUAUGGACUCUCUAUCUGGGGUAGGGACUGGAAGAGACGGAGGUGAGGGUUUUUCGGUUUACUGGAAAACUUGGGGACAGGAGGCUGCCUUCUCCAUUGGCAACAAAAAGGUAAAAGCAGACAAAAACCAAAGUUUAUAUGGAGACUUGAGUCUUAAAUGUAUUACACUCUUGACAAAAUUUCAUCACUUUUGCUUGGGUAAAUCAUAGAACAGAUUUUAGUUUGUCACAAUUUGUAAAGAUUAGAUGUCUUAUUUUUAGAACAAUAAAAAAUAUAAUGAAAGCCUUAUCAAUGAAUAGUGAAUGCAUUGGUACUUUCUGAGACUUUGAUACUCUAUAUAAGUCUGAAGUACUAUGGAUAUUGAGAAUGCAUUUUAGAUAGUUCAAUGUGCUUGCUAAAUUUUGUGUUUAAAAGUCACCUCUUUUGGACUCUUAAAUUUUAUAUAUAUGUAAUAUACAUUAAUAGUCCUUAGAGAAAUCAAACUGUUUAAUAAUAUUAAAACACAUCUAAUUUCAAAAUUCUUUCCCUCCCUUUGAAUCAAAGCUCAUAAGAUUGUCAAAAGGUUCACAAAUGAACACACUACUACCUAGUGACAAAGACAAAAGGUAUGGUUUGCCCACUCUCUCAUUCUUAAGCACACCAUUUCAUUUUGCUGGUUUUGUUGGCCAAGGGGAACAUUCAGAUACUGGACUGAGCCUAUAAAAACUUGUUGAAUCAAUAAAUAUUACUAACAUCAAAAAUAUCUAUUACAUUUUUUAAUUUGUGAAAUUGCUACAGAUAAAAAUUGUCAGUGAAGACAGAAACCCCAUGAAGAAGGAAUGA